AUGGAAAUUUGCAAAGAGAAAAUAAAUUUUCUUGGUUAUGAAAUAGGAGAAGGAAAGAUAUAUCUACAAGAACAUAUUGCAAAGAAAAUAUUAGAGUUUCCUGAUAAUAUGAGUGAUAAAAAGGUUCUACAACAGUUCUUAGGAAUUGUAAACUAUGCGCGAAACUAUAUAGAUAACUUAGCAAAGCUAGCAGGACCUUUAUAUGCUAAAUUAAGAAAAAAUGGUCAAAGAUACUUCAAUUCUGAAGAUAUAAAAUUAGUAAAGGCCAUCAAGGAAAAGUUCAAGAAUUUAAAACCCCUAGAAUUGCCUCUAGAAGACAAUUAUUUUAUAAUUGAGACAGAUGCAUCUAAGGUAGGAUGGGGUGCGAUACUCAAACAAAAACCCAAUAAAUACUCUCCAAAAGCAGAUGAAAAAAUAUCCAGAUAUGCUUCAGGAAGUUACAAACUAAAGACGGCAAAUAAUAUUGAUAGAGAAAUCCUGGCAGUUGUAAAUGCAAUAAAUGCAUUUAGGCUAUAUCUAGGAUUUAAAGAGUUUACAGUGCGAACGGAUUGUGAAGCCAUAUGUCGAUAUUACAAUAAAAUUAAUAGUAAGAAAAGCUCAACCAGAAGAUGGGUCUUAUUUGAGGAUACCAUAGCUGGGAGUGGAUAUAAAGUCAUUUUUGAGCAUAUUAAGGGGAAGGAUAAUACCCUACCUGACAUAUUUUCUCAUGCAACAAAUUUGCAGGAAUGA
rnacentral:rRNA from 1 species